AAGUCGUAACAAGGUUUCCGUAGGUGAACCUGCGGAAGGAUCAUUAACACGUAUCCACGUAUCAACAACGGUCUCCUGUACAAGUGCGCCGGACUGCGAGAUAGUGAUUCUCAGUGGUGCUCUGCUGCUUGUGGGGGUGGAUCCCAUUGAGGCAAAGACACUUACCCUCGCCCAUAGUCCGUCUCCAAGCCAUUUUCACCCAUUUUUUACCCUGCCCUUUGACUGACCAUUUUUUUUCUUGAUAAUGAUUGUUUCUAAAACAAUCAGAGUCUAUGAGAAAAGAAAUUACGAAACUUGAAC
rnacentral:misc_RNA from 1 species